ACGUGGGUGAUCUGCCCUGCACUUCGGGAUAAGCUUGGGAAACUGGGUCUAAUACCGGAUAGGAGCCAUCUUUAGUGUGGUGGUUGGAAAGUUUUUCGGUGUAGGAUGAGCUCGCGGCCUAUCAGCUUGUUGGUGGGGUAAUGGCCUACCAAGGCGGCGACGGGUAGCCGGCCUGAGAGGGUGUACGGCCACAUUGGGACUGAGAUACGGCCCAG
rnacentral:rRNA from 1 species